rnacentral:miRNA from 1 species
UGAUAUGUGGCAUUCAAUCGA